rnacentral:lncRNA from 1 species
UACGAAAAAGCUAUAAUCUACCCUCAUUCUAGAGAAUUGCUUUCUUUCUUUUAUUCUUAAUUUUGUUCUUGCCACUGCUACCGGAGAAGCUAAACACUUAACCAGGCUUGUAUUUCCUUUAAUUUUAUCUCAUAAUCUUAUUUCUGUUCUUAUUCAUUUUUUAUUUUUGGGUCAAAUCAAUUCACUUGUCUACAAACUGCGUUACAAAUUUAACUGUACCAUUUUACGGGUAAACUUGUACUCAGAAUUCCUCUAUGCAUACUACUAAAAAUCAUAGUAUGACCGAAAAUUAAUGUUAUAAUUUUUAGUAAAAAAAUCGAACUAAUACUGCAUAUCUUCUAAGUUUUGUUGUAAAAUCACAACACUCUGAUAUGGUCUGCCUGUAAAACCACUCCAGGCAUCACCCUCAUUUUGUACAUCUCUUGGCAUAUUAGAACGUAUAUGAUCUAAUAUAAAUUUUGUCCCACAAUUUCUAGCAUUUUUAUAUCAGUGAUCGCAAUACUUACAAACACUAUAUGGAACACCAUUAAAAUGCACCAGCUUGAAAUGCUUCUAUGCUUGGGAAUAUCUCCUUUUUCCCAGUUCAACAACUUCAUCAUGUUUUAAAGGUCUUUGACUUUCGCCGUCUAAGAAAAUAACAUUAGAAGAUGAAGCUGGUGGAUUCUCUUUAUUUUGAGAUGCCGUGAUUAUCUAGUAAAACAAAGAAAAAAAUAUCACUAAAAGCUGAAAAAUAGUUAUGUACCAUAAAAGGCAGACAAAUCCAGCAAUAUUGUGCAGUAUAAAAGCAAGAUUAUAAUAACAAGACUACAUAGAAACAGAAACAAAGGAGAAGAAAACAAGUAGUGGUCCAUUAUCAAGAAAGCAAACACCAUGUUUGGUUGUCAGCAGUAAAACAGAAUACAUGUCUCCAUGACUUGUUUACAUCUAACUUAACAAAUUUAUACUUUCAAAUUAUAUCAUGUUCGCUUUCAUGUUGUGCCACCUCUCGUGCAGUAACUAUAGAGUAUAUUUAUUCGCAAUCUUCUCUUCUUGUGCGACUCAUACUAUUUAGAAAUUUGAGGCUUUCAAUUGUCAAAUAAGUGUAGUUCUCUUACAACUUUACCAUGAAUAUUACAAUGUAAGUUUUAGCUUUUGUUUAAGUAGAAUUUACUAGUAGAUGUUAAUUAGUUAAUUCAUUCAGGAUUAAUCUGUUAUGAAUUUUCUAUUCUAGCAGCAAAAGUAGUACUUUAUUCACAUUCAGUGCGGUGAACUAAUACCUGUUUUUCUGUUAGCUUGUAGGGUGGCCGUGAGAAAUUGAAGCAACAUUCAAUCGAAGUUAAAGAAAAUAAACACAAAACUAAUUGAAGGAUAAGUUUGUAUACGGUCAAAACGGUAUUUAACCUUCGUACGACGGGUGAAGAUGGACCGAAGAGCAUCUACAUAAUAUCGAGGUGAGAUUUGAAGAAGGCACGAACAAGCUUCGAGUUUCGGAAUCAGAUUAAAUACCGAGCUCGACGCCAUUAUCGAGUUCGAGUCCAAAUCGAACUAUUCUGAGAAGCGACAAAAUCGAGCUUAAGAGCCAGAGGCCAACCAAUACCGAGCCCAAGUCAAUACCGGACCCCGAGUCGGCAUCGAGCUCAAACCCGCAUCGAGCUCUAAAACUGAAAACCGACCAAUACCGAGUCCGAUCAAGAUCGAGCUCAUAGACAAGAGCCAUUACAGCCGCACUAAGGGAGAGAGUCUCGGCGGGAAUUAGGAAAAAACUGAUUUAUCAUGGGUUUUCCACUAUGUAUUUUUAAUUAUAUCUAAAGUAGGAUCCCCCACUAUAAAAGGGAUGGCUAUAUUUCUGUAAAUGAUCAAGUUUUACACACAUUGUAACUCAUAUAUCAUACACUCCCAUAUUGAAGAAUUAUCUUUUUUUAGCUUCA